rnacentral:rRNA from 1 species
GACGAACGCUGGCGGCGUGCUUAACACAUGCAAGUCGAGCGGAAAGGCCCUUCGGGGUACUCGAGCGGCGAACGGGUGAGUAACACGUGAGUAAUCUGCCCUUGGCUUUGGGAUAACUACCGGAAACGGUGGCUAAUACCGGAUACGACCAAUCACUGCAUGGUGUGUUGGUGGAAAGUUUUUUCGGCCAGGGAUGUGCUCGCGGCCUAUCAGCUUGUUGGUGGGGUAAUGGCCUACCAAGGCUUCGACGGGUAGCCGGCCUGAGAGGGUGACCGGCCACACUGGGACUGAGACACGGCCCAGACUCCUACGGGAGGCAGCAGUGGGGAACAUUGGACAAUGGGCGGAAGCCUGAUCCAGCAACGCCGCGUGGGGGAUGACGGCCUUCGGGUUGUAAACCUCUUUCAGUACCGACGAAGCGCCGAUGAUGGUGGUGACGGUAGGUACAGAAGAAGCACCGGCCAACUACGUGCCAGCCGCCGCCGUAACAC